GACGAACGCUGGCGGCGUGCUUAACACAUGCAAGUCGAACGGAAAGGCCCUGCUUUUGUUGGUUGCUCGAUUGGCGAACGCGUGUGUAACACGUGUGUAACCUGCCCUUGUCUUUCGGAUAACUUCAGGAAACUGCGGCUCUUACCCCAUAUGAUCUCCUGCUGCAUGUUGUUGGUUGGUAAGUUUCGGCGGUUGGGUAUGGUCUCGCUGCUUAUCAGCUUGUUUGUGUGGUAGUGGCUUACCAAGGCUUUGACGGGUAGCCUGCCUGAGAGGGUGACCGGCGACAAUGGGACUGAGAUACGGAGCAGAAGGGUACGGGAGGCAGCAGUGGGAAAUAUUACAGAAUGGGCGGAAGCGAGAUGCAGCAACGCCGCGAGCGGGAUGACGGCCUACGGGGUAUAAACAGAUUUGGAAGGAGACGAAGAGGGAGUGACGGUAAUGGGUAAAGAAGCAACGGCUAACUACGUG
rnacentral:rRNA from 1 species